AGAAGACACAAAUGAAGAUCCGACUGACUUGAUCCAAAACUAAGGAACAGGAGGAUCGGACAUCCUGGAAGAAGCUGUGGACCAAAUGGUUCUUAGAACCCCUCCGUUGUCGCCAGCAUCAAGGUGGAAAGGAAUUUCCAAUCAUCGACUACUAACAUCCUUUCAUCUGCGAUAACCACUAUAUCAUACCUGGGUACCGAGUAGGCCAAUUCCGGACUGCAGCUAACUUUUCAAGAACUGGUUUAACACCCUCUCCACUGACAACAUGUCCCAG